rnacentral:misc_RNA from 1 species
UUUUAGUUUAUAGAACCUUGUGAUCUUUAAUUCAACCUCAAUGAUCCUCCAACAAUUCAAGGAAGGAUUUGAAUUCUGACAACCUUGAAAACUUAGGGUAUUCAAUACUCCAUUAGUAAGACUUGUCUCCUUGCAUUUUUUUAUUGGAAGAAAGUAACUAAAGUCAUAAUAUUCAGAAGAAACUACAUACAUGCAUUUGUGAAUUGCAAUGCAAGUUGUCAUCCAAUUUUACAGCAAAAAGAAGA